UUUCCGUAGGUGAACCUGCGGAAGGAUCAUUAUAGAAAAAUUUCUGAUUGACGAGUCUGGAGCAGUUGUGUUCUUUCUGUUUUUUUUAAGGCCUGCGCUUAAUUGCGCGGUCUAGAGCGGAGGGAGUUAAGCAUAGUUGCUUUGGCUUUCAAUUUACACACAGUGGAGUUUCUACUUUUUUUAUUCUUCUUUGGGAGGAUGGGUUCGUCCCGCUCCCAGAGGUAAACACAAACAAUUUUUUUUUUAUUUUAUUUUAUUUUAUUAUUAUAAUAAUAAUAAUACAGUCAAAACGAAUACUAAAACAAAAAAUAUUCAAAACUUUCAACAACGGAUCUCUUGGUUCUCGCAUCGAUGAAGAACGCAGCGAAAUGCGAUACGUAAUGUGAAUUGCAGAAUUCCGUGAAUCAUCGAAUCUUUGAACGCACAUUGCGCCCCUUGGUAUUCCAGGGGGCAUGCCUGUUUGAGCGUCAUUUCCUUCUCAAACAUUCGUGUUUGGUAGUGAGUGAUACUCUGUUUUAUUAUUUGGGUUAACUUGAAAUUGCAAGCCUUUUGGGGACGCGUGUGGGUGAGUUUUAGGCGGAAACGUCUUGCUCUCCUCUUUCCUAACCAAAUGUCGUAUUAGGUUUUACCGACUCCGACAGACGGGACUAGGAGAUUGGGUGAGUGAUAGCAAUAUCGAGCUCUGCCUAAUUUUUUUUUUGCGCGCCUUGGGCAAACAAUACUCUCAAAGUUUGACCUCAAAUCAGGUAGGAUUACCCGCUGAACUUAAGCAUAUCAA
rnacentral:rRNA from 1 species